rnacentral:rRNA from 1 species
GCUUACGGCCAUACCACCCUGAACACGCGCCGAUCUCGUCCGAUCUCGGAAGCUAAGCCGGUCGGGCCUGGUUAGUACUGGAUGGGAGACGCCCUGGGAAUACCAGUGCUGUAAGCU